AGAUGUGAUGACAUGCACUGGGCUCUGAGCAGUUUAAUACUGCGCUAUUGAUGGAAAUGCGUAGCCUUGAAAACUUUAUCUGAUCU